GACGAACGCUGGCGGCGUGCUUAACACAUGCAAGUCGAACGGAAAGGCCCUGCUUGCUGGGUCCUCGAGUGGCGAACGGGUGAGUAACACGUGGGUGAUCUGCCCUCCACUUCGGGAUAAGCCUGGGAAACUGGGUCUAAUACCGGAUAGCAGACACUUUUAGUGUGAGGGUUGGAAAGUUCUUCCGGUGUAGGAUGAGCUCGCGGCCUAUCGGCUUGUUGGUGGGGUAAUGGCCUACCAAGGCGGCGAGGGGUAGCCGGCCAGAGAGGGUGGACGGCGGCACUGAGACCGAGAGACGGCACAGACGCCGACGGGAGGAAGAAGGGGGGAAUAUUGAACCAGGGGCGCAAGCCUGAUGCAGAGACGCCGCGUGGGGGAUGACGGUCUUCGGGUUGUAAACGCCUUUCGCUAGGGACGAAGCUUUUUGUGACGGUACCUAGAGAAGAAGCACCGGCUAACUACGUG
rnacentral:rRNA from 1 species